GAAUAUUGGACAAUGGGCGCAAGCCUGAUCCAGCCAUACCGCGUGGGUGAAGAAGGCCUUCGGGUUGUAAAGCCCUUUUGUUGGGAAAGAAAAGCAGUCGGCUAAUACCCGGUUGUCCUGACGGUACACAAAGAAUCAGCACCGGCACACUUCGUGCCAGCCGCCGCGGUAAUACGAAGGGGUCAAGCGUGACUCGGAAUUACUGGGCGUAAAGAGUGCGUAGGUGGUUGUUUAAGUCUGUUGUGAAAGCCCGGGGCUCAACCUGGGAAGAGCAGUGGAUACUGGGCGACUAGAGUGUGGUAGAGGGGAGUGGAAUUCCCGGUGUAGCAGUGAAAUGCGUAGAGAUCGGGAGGAACAUCCAUGGCGAAGGCAGCUACCUGGACCAACACUGACACUGAGGCACGAAAGCGUGGGGAGCAAACAG
rnacentral:rRNA from 1 species